UGGAAGUGGAGGUGAUAAAAAGCAGCCCUGAGAAGGCCUUAGGGGUGCUUGGGAGAAGCUGAGUCUGAGCAGCCUGUGUGAGCUUGCAGGCCAGAAGGAGUCUGUCAGAGAGAUCUUAUUUGCUUUACCCAAAAUCAAGUUGGAGAGAUGUGUGGAGCCUCAGCCACAGACCCUGACUGUUGGGGGGGAUGCUUUCAUGGCAGAAAGCCGAGCUGUUCGAAACCCAGUUCCUCCUUUGGAAAAUGGGGACAGAGACAUCUCUCUGCUGCCUGAGUUCGCCUGGUGAAUUCAUGGGGGGAAGGGCAGGAAACUCCCAAAUGACCACAUCUGUACUUAAUAGAAUGAAGAUUAUGGAGGGAAAAGUAAGGUGACUUCAGAGCAGAGAAGUGAUAUUGCAGAGGAAAAAGCUGAACAGGUCUAUUGGGAAGAAAACAAACUCUGGAGGAAAAAUCUGAGGUGUCUGUGCUAAUAAUGUGCAAGUGGGAGGAGUGGCUGCCAUCUCUUGAAGCUGUGCUACUCUUCAGACCCAUUUUGCCAGGUUGGGGAGCUGCAGAGAGGACACCUGAGGAAGAAUCAUGGAACCACAGAUCUCUUGAGGCUGGAAGAGACCCUUGAGAUCACCAAGUCUUGCCACAAGUUCACAAUCCCACCACUACAACUAAUCCACUACCAUAUCUGGAGAACAACCUUCUCUUUUCUUGUGUUAAUGGACACUGCUCAAGCCAAACAGGAUCAUCCAAGAGCCAAGUAACUGGCAAUAUGGGUGGCUGCUCAGCAGGGGCCAUCACUAAAAAGGAUGCUUGUCUGUGGUAAAGACAGCACCCAUCUGAUCUAGUACAUUCCAUCCAAUUAACAUCUGUAAAUUUCCUGGUAAUGGCAUGAUGUAUACAAAGGUGACAGCAUGAGGCUCUAUUUCCAAUUGUAUCAGAUAAGAAUCCCUCCACAGCAUUGUUUGUCUGUGAGGGAGUUUGGAUUUUUGUAUUAUUUCUAGUUUGUUUCUAAUUGUAAAUAAAUAGUCUAUAUAUGUUAGUAAAUUUGGC